UCCCAGAUGGCUCAGUGGUAAAGAAUCUGCCUUCAACGCAGGAGACCCAGGUUCGAUCGCUGGGUUGAGAA
rfam:Ovis aries breed Texel chromosome 10, whole genome shotgun sequence.